GUCUACGGCCAUACCACCCUGAAUACGCCUGAUCUCGUCUGAUCUCGGAAGCUAAGCAGGGUCGGGCCUGGUUAGUACUUGGAUGGGAAAAGUAGAGAAGAAUGCUGACC
rnacentral:rRNA from 1 species